rnacentral:rRNA from 1 species
UGAGGAAUAUUGGGCAAUGCCCGCAAGGGUGACCCAGCAACGCCGCGUGGAGGAUGAAUGUCGUAAGAUUGUAAACUCCUGUUAGAGGGGAAGAAUAGUACCGGUUGGACCGGUAUAUGACUGUACCCUCAGAGAAAGCCCCGGCUAACUACGUGCCAGCAGCCGCGGUAAUACGUAGGGGGCAAGCGUUGUCCGGAUUUACUGGGUGUAAAGGGCGCGCAGGCGGGAUAAAAAGUCAGUGGUGAAAUCCUACAGCUUAACUGUAGAACUGCCUCUGAUACUUUUAUUCUUGAGUUCGGGAGAGAGAGACGGAAUUCCAGGUGUAGUGGUGAAAUACGUAGAUAUCUGGAAGAACACCAGUUGCGAAGGCGGUCUCUUGGUCCGACACUGACGCUGAGGCGCGAAAGCGUGGGGAGC